GUGUGGAGCAGCAGUGGGACUUGGGUGCCAGGAGGACCUCGGAGCAGAAGGAGCUGCCCACUGGUGUGGGGAUGAGUGUGGGUGGCAGUGAGAAAGAAGACAACUUGCCCUGAAAACACCUCGGCUUCAGGGGAAGCAAAAUGCGACACAAACCAGAGACAUUCAGAGGAAAUGCAAGAUUUGAGAACCAGGGUGAGGAGCUUAUUUUCAAUACAAUGUCCUCUGCCUAGCCUUUUAAAGGGAUAAGAAAAGAGCUUCCUUCUGUCUUCCUUCCAUGAGGCUUUACUCAUAGUAAUUAGAUGUUGAAGAGCUGCUGGGACUUCUGUAAUGUCCAUUUUUUGUUUUUCCUGAGUGCCUCAGUUCUGGAUUUUUUCACCUGUGGCAUUAGUACUGAGCUACACUUCAUGGACAGUGUAAGACAUACAAGUAUGAAAAGACCUCCCUUUUAAAAGCCUGCAAUACAUUUACAAGAAUGAAAUAAGGAUAUAUGCAGCUGGAAGAGUACAUGACAGAAUCAGUCAGCAAGGAGAGCAGCUAAUUACUGGACAAUGGUGGGAGGGGAGAUAACAGAAGCACGCUAAGAACGCAGCACUUGAAAUCAGGCUUGUGAUUAUGGACUUCUUUUUCAUGGCUCUGUUGCAUUAAGCACCAGAAGUCUCUGUUAAUAACAUGGCCCAUAUGUUGCCCUCACUAAACAGCACAGUGUGGAGCAAAGGAAUAAAACCACAAGAGAGAUGAAGCCAGAGUAGGAAUGGCAAGUCAAAAAAGAGGACAGAACAACUUCCAUAACGAGACCAGCAACAGAAACUCUAUUGGACAAUGGCCAAUGGAUCCUAUAUUUUGCUUUAUUAUUCUCUGCUGCUCAUGAUCUGAAAAUUCAAACUCUUCAUUGAAGUUUUAAGAGUCAUUUCUUAUGAAAAGCAAAUUCCAAUCAAAUGUUUAAUGAAUGUUGGAACAAGGCAUGGAUCAGCAGAAUGAGGCAAUACUGCCAAAUAUGCUUUUAGAGGGCUUAAAACAUAAUGGAGUCCAACCCUUUUGCACAGGCUUCCCGUUUUGAUGUGUAAGUUGCUACAAGUUAAAGUUUUUCCAGGGAAGAUGCUCUAUGCUUUGAAGAAGUUGUUUUUAGAACAAAGCGUCCUGGGAUUCACUGUCAUGAGUUUUAACCCUAGUACUCAAGGCAUCCUCCAUGAUUUUUGGGGCAGAUAUAUGCAGGAUGAAAGGUGACAUCAAAAGAAAGAUGCACCUGAAGAAAGAAUGGUGAAAGGAAUGGAUCUGCCAUAGCUUACAGUCCCAGUGGCUGCAGAUGAGCUGCAGAUGAGAUGCAUAAGUAGGUGGGCAUUAAAAAGGGUUGUGUUUCUUAGGCCAAAGCUGAACACUCUUCUGUCUACUGCAUCAUGUUCUCAGACCAGAAAAGCUGAAAUUGGUUUGUUUCCAUUAAAAUCGAAGAUUUAGACUCAUUUCCAUCAGCAAAGAAUAUUUCUUGACAAUGAGGAAGAGGCAAGUCUUGGAAGAAAAUUGUAGACAUGAAGGAUUUUCAGUCUACACUUUCCAGGACCAAGCAGUCUGCCAGAUUCUCCAUGGAUACUCAUCACAAUUUGCCUUAAUUUCUUGACUCUUCAUUUUUGUUUGGGGGGAGGGGGUGGGGGUAGGGGUGUAGGAGGGUGGUGUUUACGAGCAUAAAUGCAAAAGGUGAGGCUUCAAUUAUUAUUUUAAUGAGAAGGUAGGAUGACUCUUUUACCCUAUGGGAUACUCUCUUGCAAUGUACACAUGCCAGAAAUCCUGUGAAAAAUUGGUGAAUUUUUCCAAGUCAUAUAUUUUUUCAAGGUAAGUAAAAUUGUCUACAACACAUUGGCUUUCAUAUUGGCUUUGGGACUGGCUUUGAGACCCUGGCAUGGAAACACACAAUAUGCAUUGAUGAAAGGAAUUGAUAUGGUCACAUUCCUUUGCAGUCUAGCUGUUAUUGGAAACAGCUAUAUAGUGAUACAAGCUCUAUAGGGCAAUCAUGUGCUUCAGUGUUAAGGUUUUAGAAAGUCUAAAUGGUGAAUAAUACCACAUCUCUGUUCUCACUGUCUUUGUCACAAAUUAAGAAUCUGUAAAGAUCAUCCAGUAGUGAGUUGGGUGUACUGUGAAAUGCAAAUGGUUUAACCAAACCCAGAACAGAGUAAAGGUAUGCAUGCAAAAUAAACUUCUAAGUGAUUAAAAAGAAAACAAAAUCACAUCAAGUAAAUAAAAUGCCUGUGAGAAAAAAAAAGUGCAUCUCAUGACUAAAUAUCCAAGUCAUACUUAUCACUCUUAAUUCAGCAUGCACAACAACAUGCUGAGGUGCCAUGCAGAAACACAGACAUGCAAGGAUCCAGUUUCAGCAGUUGCAAAACAAAAAAGGCAUUUCAUCAGAACAGCUUCUUGAUCUGCCAGAUUAGUGACUGGCAGGGAAAGCAGGGGAAGAGCAGGAAACAGACUUGCGGCACAAGGGGAAUAAACAGAGUAGGUCCAGUUAACUUAGAGAAUUGUGUGCUCCAUGCUGAAAGAGUGACCAAUUAGUGCCUGAAAUCCCCCACAUGGGUGAGGAUUUCAAAUUCUCUAAUGUCAAAAAAAUAGUUAUGAAAACAAGUUUCAAAACUUCUGCUAAAAUAGAAACCUUUCUCCUACCAGUAAAAAAUAAACUAUGAAUAAGAACAUUAGAAAUAGAACAAAAUACAAGAAUAGCAAACAAAUUAUCAAAUACAAGGAAUAGACUAUAUCCAUUAAACUAUAUGUCAGUGACCUUCUGCAUCAAAAAUGCUAUCUUGGACUUAAGAAAUGCCAGUAGAGAAAUAAAGGUACCAGUCAGAACUAACAUUUUUAAAUAAUCAAGCUUUCCACCUAAGGUCUUAAUCUUUAUAAGGAAAACUUGGAAAACUAAUCCUGAAAGAAAUGCACAUUAAUUCUUUCUUUACAGGCAGACAAAAGGAGCACAAAAAAGUUUGGGCAGAGUGAUUUGUUAAUGCUGAGACAGCAUUGCCUCAGCUGAGCAACUGUAGCGCAGGGACAAAUAAGACCAGAAAAUCUAUGAAAGGUAGCUCAGCAGUUCCUCUGAGAUAUUUUCACUUAUCAUGAGCAUGUUAGACAGAAAGUAAAAAAUAUUUUUAAAGCCCAUUUCUCAAGAGAUAAAAUCAGAAAGCAGUUUUUUAUACUAUGUGCAGUAGGUCUCAAGUGGUCUACCUCUAAAUGUACCAAUAGAACCCAAGUGGUCACUGUUGCAGUCAUGAUAUUCAUGUGAAGAACUUCUGGAUUAGAAAAAAAUGAGUUUAUGGCUAAAACUCCACUGUUAUCAUUGUAGAGUGCUGAGACCCUUAAAUACUUCUCUUUCAUAAAAAAUAAAAUAUCUCUUAGAAUUUA